AUUGAACGCUGGCGGCAUGCCUUACACAUGCAAGUCGAACGGCAGCACGGGUGCUUGCACCUGGUGGCGAGUGGCGAACGGGUGUGUAAUACAUCGGAACAUGUCCUGUAGUGGGGGAAAGCCCGGCGAAAGCCGGAUUAAUACCGCAUACGAUCUACGGAUGAAAGCGGGGGAGCUUGUGGCUUCGCGCUAUAGGGUUGGCCGGUGGUUGCUUAGCUAGUUGGUGGGGUAAAGGCCUGCCAAGGCGACGAUCAGUAGCUGGUCUGAGAGGACGACCAGCCACACUGGGACUGAGACACGGCCCAGACUCCUACGGGAGGCAGCAGUGGGGAAUUUUGGACAAUGGGCGGAAGCCUGAUCCAGCAGUGCCGCGUGUGUGAAGAAGGCCUUCGGGUUGUAAAGCACUUUUGUCCGGAAAGAAAUCCUUGGCCCUAAUACGGUCGGGGGAUGACGGUACCGGAAGAAUAAGCACCGGCUAACUACGUG
rnacentral:rRNA from 1 species